rnacentral:misc_RNA from 1 species
GUGAAUCAUCAAAUCUUUGAACGCAAAUUGCACUCUCUGGUAUUCCGGAGAGUAAGCCUGUUUUAGGGGUAGUUUAAAUAAAAAUCGGUGUGGUUGCUGCCUUUCGGGGUGAUGCACCGGAUUUGGGUCAUCUUGCCUUCGGUUAAGUGACCUAAAAUUUUGCAUUAUUUUUUUGAACGUAUUUAAAUGAUUUUAUGUACGUUUGCGAAAGCGAAUACUAGGUUUGUUAA